GGUUGUGGAGACGGGAUUUGUUGGUGGGUGUUCCUUGAGUGUAUGGAGCAGUCCUUUUGAUGGAGUCUUUAAUUUUGGGCGAAGUUUCUGGAAACCCAUCCUUUCACCAUCCCAAUUACUCUAAAGCUCGGGUCUCUGAAGCAUUUGAGAAAAAGCACAAAUUCAACAGAUAUUUAUCAAGUGUCUUCUGUGUGAUGUGGCUGAAAAUAGGAAUUUACAGCAUAGCAACCUAACUGUACUAUGUGUGAAGUGCUACAAAAACAUAUGGCAAGCUCUGGAAUCAAGAAGUGAGCAGGCCAGAUGAGGAAACUGAGGGGUGAAGAGCUUAAGUCGUCUGCCCAAAACGAGCAGUGAGAGAGUGAUGCAGCCAGGGUUUAAACCCAGGUAGCCCAAAUACAGCAUCUACAAUCUAUCUCAAAUCUAUGGCAUCACAGAUGAGCUGGUGUCCACCUUUCCCUGAAGGAGUUGAAGGAGCUUUUAUAGAAGAGGUGAUAUCUGAACUGGACCUUAGAGAGUAAGUAAAAUUCUGCCAGAUAAAGAACAUGUAAAAGUGUUAGUCCAGCCUGAGAUUUGUG